rnacentral:rRNA from 1 species
UACGUAGGGUGCGAGCGUUAAUCGGAAUUACUGGGCGUAAAGCGUGCGCAGGCGGUUCUCCAAGUCCGUUGUGAAAGCCCCGGGCUCAACCUGGGAAUGGCAGUGGAAACUAGGGGACUUGAAUCUGGCAGAGGGGGGUGGAAUUCCACGUGUAGCAGUGAAAUGCGUAGAGAUGUGGAGGAAUACCGAUGGCGAAGGCAGCCCCCUGGGAUAACACUGACGCUCAUGCACGAAAGCGUGGGGAGCAAACAGG